GUGAGGAAUAUUGGACAAUGGGCGCAAGCCUGAUCCAGCCAUGCCGCGUGCAGGAAGACGCAUCUAUGGUGUGUAAACUGCUUUUGUACGGGAAGAAACACUCCCCCGUGAGGGAGCUUGACGGUACCGUAAGAAUAAGGAUCGGCUAACUCCGUGCCAGCAGCCGCGGUAAUACGGAGGAUCCAAGCGUUAUCCGGAAUCCUUGGGUUUAAAGGGUCCGUAGGCGGUUUAAUAAGUCAGUGGUGAAAGCCCAUCGCUCAACGAUGGAACGGCCAUUGAUACUGUUAGACUUGAAUUACAAGGAAGUAACUAGAAUAUGUAGUGUAGCGGUGAAAUGCUUAGAUAUUACAUGGAAUACCAAUUGCGAAGGCAGGUUACUACUUGUGGAUUGACGCUGAUGGACGAAAGCGUGGGGAGCGAACAGGAUUAGAAACCCCGGUAGUCC
rnacentral:rRNA from 1 species